GACAAUAACAGCCGCGGUCUUUCUGAAAUUGUUUGCCUUCAUGGUCUUUGGUGUUAUAUCUGUUUGCUGAAGCCCCAGUCCAAAUGAUGGCACAUCCUAGGCGCUGCUGUUGCCACAAUGGUCCUUUGCACAUGUUUUCUUCCCAUUGGUCCAGGGUCGCAGGCUGACAGUGCUGCAGCUCUGCAGGUACUACAUAAAAGGGUGCUCUGUGCCUGCACUUGGUUUCACCUCAGGCCCUUACACGCUGAAGAGACGGAACAGGAGAGGAGAGACUGCAGUAAACAAUACACAAGGAGGAGCAGGUCUGCAUGACUGCUGUAAAACCUUCAGUCACUGCUGAGUGCACAGCAUUACUACUACUCGCUGGCCAGUCUCGAGUCAUUUUAAUCCAGAGUACUGUUUUAAAUGGAUUAUAUACACGAGACUGUAAGACAAUUUACACCAGAGCUAGGACAAUCACCAGAGGGCAGCAUAAUACAAGCAUGAGAACAGGACCUGCAACUUCCAGCAGUUGGACAGAAUCCGCAUCACCUGAGUAAAUACCGUUUUAUGUACAAGGAGAGGCAUAUCUUUGUCCUGGAUUAGUGCCUCAAACUAAAUCAGGAAACUCGCAGAGGACUUUUCUUGACCUGUUGUCCAUGGUUCCAUCUAUUGGUACCUCUAGGCCAGUUGCUUACAUGUUGACAAGACAAGUCAGUGCUUCUCCUGGAGUGACACUAAAACCAGAUCCAUAUAGUGCCAAAGACAACCUGCUGUGCGGGACUAUCUGUUGAAAAUGGGAGUCCUCUCACAGCCAAAAGUCUACCAGGACUCCACUAUCAUAUCAGGAACAUCCAUUUUGACAAUGCUGUGCUGAGAGUCAAAGAAGACCAUGGAGAGUGGCCGGCGCCCAGUGGGAACACAACAUGAAGUUGUAGCUGUGUUGAUGCCGUUGAUUUUCAGCUGGCUGAAGACAGUGGCAUGGAACGAGGACGCUAUUCCUGGGGAACCAGACAGAUGUUGGGGGCACUGACCUAUGCAGUAGUUCAUAUGGUAGCCUUCGGGUGCAAUGAUCCACUCAUCCCACUGUAUAUCCUUGAACUUGAUGUAGAAGUCCCUCUUGCAGCACACGGUUACAUCAUCACCACAACGCAACGAGCGCUUCCUGAGUGAGUGUCUGGGGUUGUCGUCACGGGGACGCACCUGGGCCACCAGGAAGGGCUGGUAGGGGUUGUCAGCAGAGCCAUCUAGGGAACAAAGGUUCUUCCCAUCUUCAUCACAGCUUACCUCCAGCCGUAGCUGGUGGUGGUCACCGUCGAGGAAUGCCUGCAGGGUCCGGGUGAUGGGAAAGGUGUGCCAGUUACUCUCCUGGACCUCCAACAUCUUUUCUAUCACCAGGGUGCGGUCAGUGCCGGACACCCCACCAUCUACGGAAAGGAAGACUCUGGCGGGCAGGCGGGAGUCCCGGUAAGGGUUCUCAGAGGAGCGGGCGUAGAUCCACAGAGAGGACUGAAGGACCUGGAUGCUCUGACCACGUUCCUGCAGAAACUGGAAGGUGCAGCUUCUCCAAAAUUUGCUGCUUGGCGAUUUCUGUCAUCAGCCUUUCCUCCGCGUCUCUCUCCAUUGACGGUAAGCCGCACGACGCGCAGCCCGGGGAGCCACUGACGCAGAGACCCUUCAGUAGCAAGGGUGCCAAAAACAGAAACGAUGGGAAUGAAAAAGACUGCGUCGUCCGCGGCCCAAAAGUAAAUAAAUGCAUGUUUGUGCUCGACGUGCGUAAAAAACAAAACAAAACUAAUAAAAAAAUCUUCAAAUCCUUUCCCCCUGAGUUGUUCCUUGGAAGCCACAAGUUUUCCAAAUAUUGUCAAAGGUCCUUGUUGGCAGCUGGACACCGCGAGGGCAGCAGUUGAGAGAGAGGAGUGGUGUGUCACCCUCCUGAAGGUGAAGAUAUCAUCUGGGGUAAUCCACCAAAACUGGUGACACGUUGGAGGGACGCACCAAUGAGC